UACAGAGGGGGCAAGCGUUGUUCGGAAUUACUUGGGGUCGUAAAGGGCGCGUAGGCGGCCUGUUAAGUCGAACGUGAAAUCCCCGGGCUCAACCCGGGAACUGCGUCCGAUACUGGCAGGCUUGAAUUCGGGAGAGGGAUGUGGAAUUCCAGGUGUAGCGGUGAAAUGACGUAGAUAUCUGGAGGAACACCAAUUGCGAAGGCAGCUCGUUACACGAACUAUUGACUCUGAGGCUCGAAAGCGUGGGGAUCAAACAGG
rnacentral:rRNA from 1 species